AGAGUCUGUGAUGAUGCUUUUCCAACGUGUGUUCGAGUUUCACGACAAUGAGAGAACUUCACAUGCACUACCAUCUGAGACGAG